rnacentral:lncRNA from 1 species
UUUGAUACACUUCAAAGAAGAAAGGCAAGCAAGGCGUGGAGUGGAGACCUCAAAAUCACUGAUCCCAAUAUACAGUCCCUUUUCCUUCCCUGCCUCUGAUACGUAUGCUGCAUUCUCCAGCCACAUGGCAAGGCAGACCCUAGACCAACUUGCUCAUGCCUCCUCAAAGGAGCUUGAUUUCUCCUCUCCUGGGAGAAGUGAUACCACAAGAAGCCAAGCAUCACGCCAUGAAGAGCAUGUGCAGAACAUUCGCCGGUUUCAUGAAUCCCUGCAUCUUCAGGGAGAGGCACCCUUGCCAUGUGAUGACAAACUGACCACAUCACCUUUGUCCUCCCAAACCUCCAUUCUGACUUCUCUCAGCCCUCAGACUCAAACGGCCAUCUCACAGCACCAGGAGAGCUGUAGGGACCAUCUUGGGCCAGGUGCCAGCAGCCUAGACCCUGGGAGCCAGUGUAUCCUGGAGAAAUCCAGUAACCUGGUGUUGCAAGUCAGCUCCUUAAUCACAGAUACCUAACCUGUUGGUAUCCAUGGCCUCAGAUAAAUGCUCUGUGUUUGACUUCCACUUGCUUGGAUAUUUUCAGUCAAGUGUUUAUUGAGCACCAUCUGUGCCAGGCACUAUUCUGUUAUUUGUCCCAGGAAGAUACAGUGGUGGAUAUGACAGGCAUUAUCUCCCUUCAUCAAGCUUAUAUUCUAUAGUCAACCAAAGAAAAAUCCUCUCACAAAGAAAGUAUGACAGCAAAACAGAUGAAGGCUUGUUUGGAGUAGAGGUGGAAACAAAUAGGGGAAUCUUUCUAAAGGGGCAUAUUAAAAGAGGAGAGAGAAGGGAAUUGUGGCCAGGCACGGUGGCUCACACCUGUAAUCCC